rnacentral:rRNA from 1 species
GACGAACGCUGGCGGCGUGCCUAAUACACGCAAGUUGAGCGAUGAAGAUUGGUGCUUGCACCAAUUUGAAGAGCAGCGAACGGGUGAGUAACGCGUGGGGAAUCUGCCUUUGAGCGGGGGACAACAUUUGGAAACGAAUGCUAAUACCGCAUAAUAACUUUAAACAUAAGUUUUAAGUUUGAAAGAUGCAAUUGCAUCACUCAAAGAUGAUCCCGCGUUGUAUUAGCUAGUUGGUGAGGUAAAGGCUCACCAAGGCGAUGAUACAUAGCCGACCUGAGAGGGUGAUCGGCCACAUUGGGACUGAGACACGGCCCAAACUCCUACGGGAGGCAGCAGUAGGGAAUCUUCGGCAAUGGACGAAAGUCUGACCGAGCAACGCCGCGUGAGUGAAGAAGGUUUUCGGAUCGUAAAACUCUGUUGGUAGAGAAGAACGUUGGUGAGAGUGGAAAGCUCAUCAAGUGACGGUAACUACCCAGAAAGGGACGGCUAACUACGUG